rnacentral:rRNA from 1 species
GGUGAACGCUGGCGGCGUGCCUAAGACAUGCAAGUCGAGCGGGCCGCGGGGUUUUACUCCGUGGUCAGCGGCGGACGGGUGAGUAACGCGUGGGUGACCUACCCGGAAGAGGGGGACAACCCGGGGAAACUCGGGCUAAUCCCCCAUGUGGACCCGCCCCUUGGGGUGUGUCCAAAGGGCUUUGCCCGCUUCUGGAGGGGCCCGCGUCCCAUCAGCUAGUUGGUGGGGUAAUGGCCCACCAAGGCGACGACGGGUAGCCGGCCUGAGAGGGUGGCCGGGCACAGGGGCACUGGGACACGGGGCCCAGUCCUAGGGGGGGCCGGGGUUAGGCAGCUGACGCAAUGGGGGAAAGCCUGACGGCGCGACGCAGCUUGGAGGCGGGAGCCCUUCGGGGUGUAAAGUCCUGAACCCGUGACGAAACCCCCGACGAGGGGACGGAGGGAACCGGGAUAAUAGCGCCGGCCAACUCCGUG